UACGGAGGGGGCGAGCGUUAUCCGGAUUCACUGGGUUUAAAGGGUGCGUAGGUGGGUUGGUAAGUCAGUGGUGAAAUCUCCAGGCUUAACUUGGAAACUGCCAUUGAUACUAUCAAUCUUGAAUACCGUGGAGGUCAGCGGAAUAUGUCAUGUAGCGGUGAAAUGCUUAGAUAUGACAUAGAACACCAAUUGCGAAGGCAGCUGGCUACACGAAUAUUGACACUGAUGCACGAAAGCGUGGGGAUCAAACAGG
rnacentral:rRNA from 1 species